rnacentral:rRNA from 1 species
CAGCAGCCACGGUAAUACGAAGGGGGCUAGCGUUGCUCGGAAUGACUGGGCGUAAAGGGCGCGUAGGCGGUUCGUACAGUUGGAUGUGAAAUUCCUGGGCUUAACCUGGGGGCUGCAUUCAAUACGUGCGGGCUUGAGUGUGGAAGAGGGUUGUAGAAUUCCCAGUGUAGAGGUGAAAUUCGUAGAUAUUGGGAAGAACACCGGUGGCGAAGGCGGCAACCUGGUCCAUAACUGACGCUGAGGCGCGAAAGCGUGGGGAGCAAACAGGAUUAGAUACCCCCGUAGUCCCUGUCUCUUAUAC